rnacentral:rRNA from 1 species
CGCGUAGGCGGCAAGGCAAGUCAGAUGUGAAAUCCCCGGGCUCAACCUGGGAAUUGCAUCUGAAGCUGCAGUGCUUGAGUCCUGGAGGGGAUAGUGGAAUUCCCAGUGUAGCGGUGAAAUGCGUAGAUAUUGGGAGGAACACCUGCGGCGAAGGCGGCUAUCUGGACAGUGACUGACGCUGAUGCGCGAAAGCCAGGGGAGCGAACGG